UCAUAUCACGUUGAAAACGCUGGUUCUCGUCCGACUACCGAAGUUAAGCAACGUCGAACCUGGUCAUUUACCUUGAUGGGCGGUUGCUUGGGAAUAGCAGAUGCUGUAAU